rnacentral:rRNA from 1 species
UACGGGGGGGGCAAGCGUUGUUCGGAAUUACUGGGCGUAAGGGCUCGUAGGCGGCCAACUAAGUCAGACGUGAAAUCCCUCGGCUUAACCGAGGAACUGCCUGUCAGACUGGAAGGCUUGAGACCGGGAGAGGUGAGUGGAAUUCCCAGUGUAGCGGUGAAAUGCGUAGAUAUUGGGAGGAACACCAGUGGCGAAGGCGGCUCACUGGACCGGAACUGACGCUGAGGCGCGAAAGCGUGGGGAGCAAACAGG